rnacentral:rRNA from 1 species
AUUGAACGCUGGCGGCAGGCCUAACACAUGCAAGUCGAACGGUAACAGGAAGCAGCUUGCUGCUUUGCUGACGAGUGGCGGACGGGUGAGUAAUGUCUGGGAAACUGCCUGAUGGAGGGGGAUAACUACUGGAAACGGUAGCUAAUACCGCAUAACGUCGCAAGACCAAAGAGGGGGACCUUCGGGCCUCUUGCCAUCGGAUGUGCCCAGAUGGGAUUAGCUAGUAGGUGGGGUAACGGCUCACCUAGGCGACGAUCCCUAGCUGGUCUGAGAGGAUGACCAGCCACACUGGAACUGAGACACGGUCCAGACUCCUACGGGAGGCAGCAGUGGGGAAUAUUGCACGAUGGGCGCAAGCCUGAUGCAGCCAUGCCGCGUGUAUGAAGAAGGCCUUCGGGUUGUAAAGUACUUUCAGCGGGGAGGAAGGGAGUAAAGUUAAUACCUAUGCUCAUUGACGUUACCCGCAGAAGAAGCACCGGCUAACUCCGUG